GUGGGGAAUAUUGGACAAUGGGCGAAAGCCUGAUCCAGCCAUGCCGCGUAUGUGAAGAAGGUCUUCGGAUUGUAAAGCACUUUAAGUUGGGAGGAAGGGCAGUAAGUUAAUACCUUGCUGUUUUGACGUUACCAACAGAAUAAGCACCGGCUAACUUCGUGCCAGCAGCCGCGGUAAUACGAAGGGUGCAAGCGUUAAUCGGAAUUACUGGGCGUAAAGCGCGCGUAGGUGGUUCAGCAAGUUGAAGGUGAAAUCCCCGGGCUCAACCUGGGAACUGCCUCCAAAACUACUGAGCUAGAGUACGGUAGAGGGUAGUGGAAUUUCCUGUGUAGCGGUGAAAUGCGUAGAUAUAGGAAGGAACACCAGUGGCGAAGGCGACUACCUGGACUGAUACUGACACUGAGGUGCGAAAGCGUGGGGAGCAAACAGGAUUAGAAACCCCUGUAGUCC
rnacentral:rRNA from 1 species